AUUGAACGCUGGCGGCAGGCCUAACACAUGCAAGUCGAGCGGAUGAGAAGUGCUUGCCCUUCGAGUUAGCGGCGGACGGGUGAGUAAUGCCUAGGAAUCUGCCUGGUAGUGGGGGACAACGUUUCGAAAGGAACGCUAAUACAGCAUACGUCCUACGGGAGAAAGCAGGGGACCUUAGGGCCUUGCGCUCUCAGAUGACCCUAGGUCGGAUUAGCUAGUUGGUGAGGUAAUGGCUCACCAAGGCGACGAUCCGUAACUGGUCUGAGAGGAUGAUCAGUCACACUGGGACUGAGACACGGUCCAGACUCCUACGGGAGGCAGCAGUGGGGAAUAUUGGACAAUGGGCGAAAGCCUGAUCCAGCCAUGCCGCGUGUGUGAAGAAGGUCUUCGGAUUGUAAAGCACAUUAAGUUGGGGGGAAGGGCAGUAAGCGAAUACCUUGCUGUUUUGACGUUACCAACAGAAUAAGCACCGGCUAACUCUGUGCCAGCCGCCGCCGUAAAAC
rnacentral:rRNA from 1 species